rnacentral:lncRNA from 1 species
CCAUUUUUAGUUAAAGUAAAGCAAAGUAAUUGGUCAAAGUCAAAGUCAAUAAAGAUUUAAGUUGAACAAAUUAUUUUUAUGGGGCUUAAUUUGUAAUUACAAGUAUUUAAGGGCCAAAAGUAUAUAUAUAGACAUUUAGAUAUUUGUUUUCUAUUUAUUGGAAUUAAAGGAGUAAAUGGUAUAUUUUAUGAAGGAUGGGGGACUUUAGGUGCAAUUUUAUAAUGGUUAUCCACUAACUUAAAGGAUAAUUGAUCUCUUUUUGGUCAUUUUGGGGGACAAAAACCAUGGAGAAGCUGAAAACGAAACCAUGGAAGGAAAAGGAAGAGAAAAAAAGAAGAAGGAAGGGAUAGGUUCCAAUUUUACAAGGUUAGGUUCUCAAUUGCUCAAUUUCCCAAUUUCUCCCUUUGAUUUAGAGAGGUAAGUAUAAGAAUGUGAAAUUAUCUCCUUUAGGGUUUAUAGAACUUAUCUUUAAAAUUUUGAAGUUAGCAAGAAUUAGGUGUUAUUGAUUUGUAUUCAAGGUUUUAAAUAAUAAUAUAGUGAGGAAAUGUUUAUUUGAAAAUUGAAGUUGAAAAAAGUAGAAUUUUGGAAAUGGGUUGGGAGAUAAAAGAUAUAUCUUUUGAGUUUCUUGUGAUUAUGUGAUGCUAAACACUUAAAUUAAGGAUUCGAGAUUGAAAUUCUCCAUUUUUAAAGCAAUUUUCGAGCUAUUAUAGUACAGGUGUUAAUUCUAAAUUUCUUUCCAGAAAAGUGUUAUUUCUGUCAGUGGUUUCGAUGCCAGACUUCAAUAUACAGAAAUUUGUGCCAGAUUUCUAUAUUCUAGAAUAUUAGUGCUAUUUUUGUCAAACCUUGGAUUUCCAAAAUUUUAAAGGUUU